CCUGCCUCCAAGAAGCAUUGUGUGUGUGUCUUUUCUGUUGCACAAGUGUCAGUAGAAGGCAAUGAAGAGAGGGGCUAUGUCUGUGCUAAGCUCACUGUCCUGAUGUGUGAGCAUCUGAAUGAUUAGUAACCUAACAUU